rnacentral:rRNA from 1 species
AACCAGCACCUCAAGUGGUCAGGAGGAUUAUUGGGCCUAAAGCAUCCGUAGCCGGUUCUGCAAGUUUCGGUUAAAUCCACUUUCUCAACAAAUGGGCUGCCGAAAAUACUACAGAGCUAGGGAGUGGGAGAGGUAGACGGUAUUCGGUAGGAAGGGGUAAAAUCCUUUGAUCUAUUGAGGACCACCUAUGGCGAAGGCAGUCUACCAGAACACGUUCGACGGUGAGGGAUGAAAGCUGGGGGAGCAAACCGG